rnacentral:rRNA from 1 species
UGGGGAAUAUUGGACAAUGGGGGGAACCCUGAUCCAGCCAUGCCGCGUGUGUGAAGAAGGCCUUAUGGUUGUAAAGCACUUUAAGCGAGGAGGAGGGUACUGGUAUUAAUACUACCAGCUACUGGACGUUACUCGCAGAAUAAGCACCGGCUAACUCUGUGCCAGCAGCCGCGGUAAUACAGAGGGUGCGAGCGUUAAUCGGAUUUACUGGGCGUAAAGCGUGCGUAGGCGGCUAAUUGAGUCGGAUGUGAAAUCCCCGAGCUUAACUUGGGAAUUGCAUUCGAUACUGGUUAGCUAGAGUGUGGGAGAGGAUGGUAGAAUUCCAGGUGUAGCGGUGAAAUGCGUAGAGAUCUGGAAGAAUACCGAUGGCGAAGGCAGCCAUCUGGCCUAACACUGACGCUGAGAUACGAAAGCAUGGGGAGCAAACAGG